rnacentral:rRNA from 1 species
GGNCGUNGGGGCGUGCUUACACAUGCAGUCGAACGAUGACCCGGUGCUUGCACUGGUGAUUAGUGGCGAACGGGUGAGUAACACGUGAGUAACCUGCCCUUGACUCUGGGAUAAGCCUGGGAAACUGGGUCUAAUACCGGAUAUGACCUUCCAUCGCAUGGUGGUUGGUGGAAAGCUUUUGUGGUUUUGGAUGGACUCGCGGCCUAUCAGCUUGUUGGUGAGGUAAUGGCUUACCAAGGCGACGACGGGUAGCCGGCCUGAGAGGGUGACCGGCCACACUGGGACUGAGACACGGCCCAGACUCCUACGGGAGGCAGCAGUGGGGAAUAUUGCACAAUGGGCGGAAGCCUGAUGCAGCGACGCCGCGUGAGGGAUGACGGCCUUCGGGUUGUAAACCUCUUUCAGUAGGGAAGAAGCGAAAGUGACGGUACCUGCAGAAGAAGCGCCGGCUAACUACGUGCCAGCAGCCGCGGUAAUACGUAGGGCGCAAGCGUUAUCCGGAAUUAUUGGGCGUAAAGAGCUCGUAGGCGGUUUGUCGCGUCUGCCGUGAAAGUCCGGGGCUCAACUCCGGAUCUGCGGUGGGUACGGGCAGACUAGAGUGAUGUAGGGGAGACUGGAAUUCCUGGUGUAGCGGUGAAAUGCGCAGAUAUCAGGAGGAACACCGAUGGCGAAGGCAGGUCUCUGGGCAUUAACUGACGCUGAGGAGCGAAAGCAUGGGGAGCGAACAGGAUUAGAUACCCUGGUAGUCCAUGCCGUAAACGUUGGGCACUAGGUGUGGGGGACAUUCCACGUUUUCCGCGCCGUAGCUAACGCAUUAAGUGCCCCGCCUGGGGAGUACGGCCGCAAGGCUAAAACUCAAAGGAAUUGACGGGGGCCCGCACAAGCGGCGGAGCAUGCGGAUUAAUUCGAUGCAACGCGAAGAACCUUACCAAGGCUUGACAUGGACCGGACCGCCGCAGAAAUGUGGUUUCCCCUUUGGGGCUGGUUUACAGGUGGUGCAUGGUUGUCGUCAGCUCGUGUCGUGAGAUGUUGGGUUAAGUCCCGCAACGAGCGCAACCCUCGUUCUAUGUUGCCAGCACGUGAUGGUGGGGACUCAUAGGAGACUGCCGGGGUCAACUCGGAGGAAGGUGGGGACGACGUCAAAUCAUCAUGCCCCUUAUGUCUUGGGCUUCACGCAUGCUACAAUGGCCGGUACAAAGGGUUGCGAUACUGUGAGGUGGAGCUAAUCCCAAAAAGCCGGUCUCAGUUCGGAUUGGGGUCUGCAACUCGACCCCAUGAAGUCGGAGUCGCUAGUAAUCGCAGAUCAGCAACGCUGCGGUGAAUACGUUCCCGGGUCUUUAACACACCGA